CAAUAGCGUAUAUUAAAGUUGUUGCAGUUAAAAAGCUCGUAGUUGGAUUUCUGCCAGGGUGCCAAUGUCCGCCGAAGUGCGUGCGCAGCGGCGCCCUCGCAUCCUUCUGUUAACGCCUCUCGGCAUUUACUUGCCGGUGGUGGGCUCAGAUAAUUUACCUUGAGAAAAUUAGAGUGUUUCAGGCAGGCUAGGCCGGAAUACAUUAGCAUGGAAUAAUGGAAUAGGACUACGGUCUCGUUGUUGGUUUGAGGGACUGGAGUAAUGAUUAAUAGGGAUAGUUGGGGGCAUUAGUAUUUAAUUGUCAGAGGUGAAAUUCUCAGAUUUGUUAAAGACUAACUUAUGCGAAAGCAUUUGCCAAGGAUGUUUUCAUUGA
rnacentral:rRNA from 1 species